CUCUGCACCCAAUCAAGUCAAAUGUGUCUUUCCUGGUCAGCUAUGAGGGCCGUUGCAUGAAAGACAGAUUACAUGAGAUUAUGUUUUGAUAAACCUAUAACAGCUGGAGCGAGUUCGCCCUCAUUCAAAGCCAGAAUGAUGCUGGUCAGUUUAGAGGGCUGCGUGGAGAGAGCCUGGAGAACAGCUCUCCUGGAGCAGCCGCUGCCGCUCACCUCAUCCACAGCCUGGAUACUUGCCACCUCUGGUCUUGUGGACGACCUGGAAGAACAUGACCAAAAACAACAAUGUAGUUUGAACUGUUCAUCCUAAAAACAUUGAGUUGCAGCUUUACUGCACACUUAAAAUAAAUAUCAGAUAAAGAUACAAUGUAAUGAAAGAGAAACAAUUCCAUUCUAUGUUGCAUUUAUUUAGUUUCCCUUUCAUUUUUAUACAUUGCAUGUUUCCUAUUCUUGCUUUCCCAUUUGCUGCUCUAACAGGCAAAUUUCCCCAUUAUUGGACCAAUAAAGGAUUAUCUCAUCUUAAAACCAA